rnacentral:sRNA from 1 species
UAGUCAGUUUGGCUUUAGACGAGGUUAC